rnacentral:rRNA from 1 species
GAUGAACGCUGGCGGCGUGCCUAAUACAUGCAAGUCGAGCGAACAGACGAGGAGCUUGCUCCUCUGACGUUAGCGGCGGACGGGUGAGUAACACGUGUAUAACCUACCUAUAAGACUGGGAUAACUUCGGGAAACCGGAGCUAAUACCGGAUAAUAUAUUGAACCGCAUGGUUCAAUAGUGAAAGACGGUUUUGCUGUCACUUAUAGAUGGAUCCGCGCCGCAUUAGCUAGUUGGUAAGGUAACGGCUUACCAAGGCAACGAUGCGUAGCCGACCUGAGAGGGUGAUAGGCCACACUGGAACGGAGACACGGUCCAGACGCCUACGGGACGCAGCAGUAGGGAAUCGUCCGCAAUGGGCGAAAGCCUGACGGAGCAACGCCGCGUGAGUGAUGAAGGUCUUCGGAGCGUAAAACUCUGUUAUUAGGGAAGAACAAAUGUGGAAGUAACUAUGCACGUCGUGACGGUACCUAAUCAGAAAGCCACGGCUAACUACGUG